rnacentral:rRNA from 1 species
UUCUAUUAGAAAUAAUUAAUAGUAAAAUCUGCUCAAUGUUUAUUAAAUAGCCGCAAUAUCGUGCUAAGGUAGCAUAAUCAUUUGCCUUUUAAUUGAAGGCUAGAACAAAAGAUUUAACAUUUCAGUUUUUUUCUUUAAGUUUAUAAUCAAACUUUUCUUAAAUGUAAAAAGACAUUUAUAAUAAAGAAAGACGAUAAGACCCUAUUGAACUUAACUUCAGUUAAACUGGGGCAGUAAAUUAAUUAUUAUUUUAACUUUCAUAUAAAUAAAACUAUCUAAUCUAUUUAAAUAAAUCAGUUACCAUAGGGAUAACAGCAUAAUUUAUAUUAUAAGUUCUUAUAUUAAUAUAAGUUUAUGACCUCGAUGUUGAAUAACUACUUAAUUUUUGCAAAAGAAAAUUAAAGAAGUCUGUUCGACUUUUAAAAAGUUACA